ACGAACGCUGGCGGCGUGCCUAAUACCUGCAAGUAGAACGCUGAAGAGAGGAGCUUGCUCUUCUUGGAUGAGUUGCGAACGGGUGAGUAACGCGUAGGUAACCUGCCUUGUAGCGGGGGAUAACUAUUGGAAACGAUAGCUAAUACCGCAUAACAAUGGAUGACACAUGUCAUUUAUUUGAAAGGGGCAAUUGCUCCACUACAAGAUGGACCUGCGUUGUAUUAGCUAGUAGGUGAGGUAAUGGCUCACCUAGGCGACGAUACAUAGCCGACCUGAGAGGGUGAGCGGCCACACUGGGACUGAGACACGGCCCAGACGCCUACGGGAGGCAGCAGUAGGGAAUCUUCGGCAAUGGGGGCAACCCUGACCGAGCAACGCCGCGGGAGGGAAGAAGGGUGUCGGAUCGUAAAGCUCUGUUGUAAGUCAAGAACGGGUGUGAGAGUGGAAAGUUCACACUGUGACGGUAGCUUACCAGAAAGGGACGGCUAACUACGUG
rnacentral:rRNA from 1 species